GACGAACGCUGGCGGCGUGCCUAAUACAUGCAAGUAGAACGCUGAAGAGAGGAGCUUGCUCUUCUUGGAUGAGUUGCGAACGGGUGAGUAACGCGUAGGUAACCUGCCUUGUAGCGGGGGAUAACUAUUGGAAACGAUAGCUAAUACCGCAUAACAAUGGAUGACACAUGUCAUUUAUUUGAAAGGGGCAAAUGCUCCACUACAAGAUGGACCUGCGUUGUAUUAGCUAGUAGGUGAGGUAACGGCUCACCUAGGCGACGAUACAUAGCCGACCUGAGAGGGCGAUCGGCCACACUGGGACUGAGACACGGCCCAGACUCCUACGGGAGGCAGCAGUAGGGAAUCUUCGGCAAUGGGGGCAACCCUGACCGAGCAACGCCGCGUGAGUGAAGAAGGUUUUCGGAUCGUAAAGCUCUGUUGUAAGUCAAGAACGAGUGUGAGAGUGGAAAGUUCACACUGUGACGGUAGCUUACCAGAAAGGGACGGCUAACUACGUGCCAGCAGCCGCGGUAAUACGUAGGUCCCGAGCGUUGUCCGGAUUUAUUGGGCGUAAAGCGAGCGCAGGCGGUUUGAUAAGUCUGAAGUUAAAGGCUGUGGCUCAACCAUAGUUCGCUUUGGAAACUGUCAAACUUGAGUGCAGAAGGGGAGAGUGGAAUUCCAUGUGUAGCGGUGAAAUGCGUAGAUAUAUGGAGGAACACCGGUGGCGAAAGCGGCUCUCUGGUCUGUAACUGACGCUGAGGCUCGAAAGCGUGGGGAGCGAACAGGAUUAGAUACCCUGGUAGUCCACGCCGUAAACGAUGAGUGCUAGGUGUUGGAUCCUUUCCGGGAUUCAGUGCCGCAGCUAACGCAUUAAGCACUCCGCCUGGGGAGUACGACCGCAAGGUUGAAACUCAAAGGAAUUGACGGGGGCCCGCACAAGCGGUGGAGCAUGUGGUUUAAUUCGAAGCAACGCGAAGAACCUUACCAGGUCUUGACAUCCCGAUGCUAUUUCUAGAGAUAGAAAGUUACUUCGGUACAUCGGUGACAGGUGGUGCAUGGUUGUCGUCAGCUCGUGUCGUGAGAUGUUGGGUUAAGUCCCGCAACGAGCGCAACCCCUAUUGUUAGUUGCCAUCAUUCAGUUGGGCACUCUAGCGAGACUGCCGGUAAUAAACCGGAGGAAGGUGGGGAUGACGUCAAAUCAUCAUGCCCCUUAUGACCUGGGCUACACACGUGCUACAAUGGUUGGUACAACGAGUUGCGAGUCGGUGACGGCAAGCUAAUCUCUUAAAGCCAAUCUCAGUUCGGAUUGUAGGCUGCAACUCGCCUACAUGAAGUCGGAAUCGCUAGUAAUCGCGGAUCAGCACGCCGCGGUGAAUACGUUCCCGGGCCU
rnacentral:rRNA from 1 species